rnacentral:rRNA from 1 species
AGUAUUGAAGGUGAUGCCUGCCCGGUGACUCACGUUCAACGGCCGCGGUAUCCUAACCGUGCGAAGGUAGCGCAAUCAAUUGUCCCAUAAAUCGAGACUAGUAUGAAUGGCUAAACGAGGUCUUAACUGUCUCUUACAGGCAAUCGGUGAAAUUGAUCUUCCUGUACAAAAGCAGGGAUAAACACAUAAGACGAGAAGACCCUGUGGAACUUCAAAACCAGCAACCACCUUAAAUCACCUACACACCCACCGGGUUCACUGACAUUUAAGCUACUGGUCUGCGUUUUUCGGUUGGGGCGACCUUGGAGCAAAACAAAACCUCCAAAAAUUAGACCAUCCCUCUAGACUGAGAGCAACCCCUCAACGUGCGAAUAGCACCCAGACCCAAUAUAAUUGAUCGAUGGACCAAGCUACCCCAGGGAUAACAGCGCAAUCCCCUCCGAGAGUCCAUAUCGACGAGGGGGUUUACGACCUCGAUGUUGGAUCAGGACAUCCUGGUGGUGCAGCAGCUGCC